GUGGGGAAUAUUGCGCAAUGGGGGAAACCCUGACGCAGCAACGCCGCGUGGAGGAUGAAGGCCUUCGGGUCGUAAACUCCUGUCAGGUGGGAAGAAUAAGUCUCGGCUAAUACCCGGGACUCUUGACGGUACCACCAGAGGAAGCCCCGGCUAACUCCGUGCCAGCAGCCGCGGUAAUACGGAGGGGGCAAGCGUUAUUCGGAAUCAUUGGGCGUAAAGGGCGCGUAGGCGGCUUGGCAAGUCAAAGGUGAAAUCCCUCGGCCCAACCGAGGAACUGCCUUUGAUACUGCCUCGCUUGAGGCCGGGAGAGGGUAGCGGAAUUCCCAGUGUAGCGGUGAAAUGCGUAGAUAUUGGGAGGAACACCAGUGGCGAAGGCGGCUACCUGGACCGGUUCUGACGCUGAGGCGCGAAAGCGUGGGGAGCAAACAGGAUUAGAAACCCCUGUAGUCC
rnacentral:rRNA from 1 species